rnacentral:rRNA from 1 species
AUUGAACGCUGGCGGCAGGCCUAACACAUGCAAGUCGAGCGAGCGGCGGACGGGUGAGUAAUGUAUGGGGAUGUGCGCGAUAGAGGGGGAUAACUACUGGAAACGGUGGCUAAUACCGCAUACUAUCGGAUGAACCCAUAUGGGAUUAGCUAGUAGGUGGGGUAAAGGCUCACCGAGGGGACGACCUCUAGCUGGUCUGAGAGGAUGAGCAGCCACACUGGGACUGAGACACGGCGCAGACUCCUACGGGAGGCAGCAGUGGGGAAUAUUGCACAAUGGGCGCAAGCCUGAUGCAGCCAUGCCGCGUGUGUGAAGAAGGCCUUCGGGUUGUAAAGCACUUUCAGCGAGGAGGCGUUACUCGCAGAAGAAGCACCGGCUAACUCCGUGCCAGCAGCCGCGGUAAUUC